CACUUUUCAAAUGCAUGAGAAAGGUGAACCUGCCGAAUCUGGUAAAUUCUUCAAAUACCAGUCUAGUUCAUGUAUUUGCACCGCCAUACGGACACCGUCUUGAUUGCAAUUUGUCGUUAGUCCGUCAUAAUGACCCAGUAAAAGUCCAGUACCAUCAUCAUUAUGGUACAAGUGAAGGAAUUAAAGUAUCCUUAAAGUGUAGUCGGUGCAAAAUGUUUUAUGGUUAUUCAAAGUAUGGCAACCCUGAAACUGGAUGGAAAUUGUAUCCUGAAGCCAGAACGUCAGUAGAAGCAUCUGAUGUGUGUCUUGUGGAGAGAUCGCUACUAAAAUGGCAAAUAUCUUUAGCGUAAGUUUAAUAUGGGUUAUGAUUUUCAGUUUUGCACGAAUACUGACUGCAUCCACGAUUUUUUUUGCAUCAAUACCGGCUGUGAAUGAUAACAUGGCAUGUUAUUGCAUGUUUGAAACUUCAGUAAUUUCUUACUCGCGGAAAUGAUACUUGUUUGUAACUUUAGUUCUCUUUUUUUCUACGGUGCCUCAAUUAAAAUAGAAAUCAUAGUUGGGUG